CUGGUGUUGGAGGAUGUGGUCUGAUGGUGUUGGUGGUGUUGUUGGAGGAUGUGGUCUGAUUGUGUUGGAGGAUGUGGUCUGAUGGUGUUGAAGGAUGUGGUCUGAUGGUGUUGGUGGUGUUGUUGGAGGAUGUGGUGAUGGUGGUGUUGUUGGAGGAUGUGGUCUGAUGGUGUUGGUGGAUGUGGUCUGAUGGUGUUGGUGUUGGAGGAUGUGGUGAUGGUGUUGGUGUUGUUGGAGGAUGUGGUGGUGUUGGUGGUGGUGUUGGAGGAUGUGGUGGUGUUGGUGGUGGUGUUGGAGGAUGUGGUCUGAUGGUGUUGGAGGAGGAUGUGGUCUGAUGGUGUUGGUGUUGUUGGAGGAUGUGGUCUGAUGGUGUUGGUGUUGUUGGAGGAUGUGGUCUGAUGGUGGUGGUGGUGUUGUUGGAGGAUGUGGUCUGAUGGUGUUGGUGGUGGAUGUGGUCUGAUGGUGUUGGUGGUGUUGUUGGAGGAUGUGGUCUGAUGGUGUUGGUGGUGUUGGAGGAUGUGGUGUUGGUGGUGUUGUUGGAGGAUGUGGUGUUGGUGUUGGAGAUGGGGUCUGAUGGUGUUGGUGGUGUUGGAGGAUGUGGUCUGAUGGUGUUGCUGGUGUUGUCAUGUUUGUGUUCCAG
ensembl:lncRNA